AAGCCAGGUCUGUGCAUUGAAAGCUAUUCUGCAGCAAGUCCACCUGUGGAAACAAGCGUAGAUGUGUCUCCUACAUAUUUGGUCCCCAAUGAAGAAACAAUACCCUCCACUAAGAGGUGCGCGUUAUCAGUCCUGCAGUAUCUCCAGCAGCCUUACCCACACAGCGAGCCUCUCCAUCCUGAGACCACUGUACUUACUUGUCUUUCCUGCAAGCAAUAAUAACUCUUGCU
rnacentral:lncRNA from 1 species